UGAAUUUCUGGGGUUCAUUGGCAGCUGCCAACUGCUUCUUCAACACUUUGCUUUGUUUUUCACUCUGCACAUUCCAGUAACUGAUCAUCUCGAGAUCAGUAAGGAAUUCACUGGGUCAGUCACAGCCAAGGCCUUCUGGUGUUCAGAUAUGUCUGUGCUAGAAAGAGUAACAGUCCCCCAAAGAUGUCCCUGUUCUCGUCCCUGGAACCUGUGAAUGUGUUCUCUUACAGGGCAAAAGGGACUUUCCUAAGGUGGUUAAGGAUCUUGAGAUGGUGAGAUUAUCCUGUAUUAUCUAUGUGGGCCCAAAUUAAUCACAAGGGUCCUUAUUAGAGGAAGACAAGAAGGCCAGAGGAGAUCCAUUGCAGGAAGCAGAAGUAGGCAUGACAUGCUCUGAAAAUGGAGGAAGGGGCCUUGAGCCAAGGAAUGUGGGGCAGGCUGCCUUCUAGAAACACAAAAGUGCAAGGAAAUGCAUUCUCCACCAGAGCCUCAGGAGGAGUACAACCCUGUCUACACGUUGAUUUUAGCCUGGUGAGAUUAUUUUGGACUUCUGACUUCUAGAAAUGUGGAGAUGAUCAAUCAGGACUAGAGCCCCAUCUUUGCUGCUGUGCCUCCUAAGACUGUGUGAUUCAUUCACCAGUCUCACCAGAAAGGACCAGGGUCAGCGAGGUGGAUGUGGUAAGCCAACUCUCCCCUCACAUGGGAACCUAUUGCUAUUAUAACUCCUUGUUAGAUCUGAAGACACCCAAGCCCUGAACCACCAGAGCCGGAGUCCUAAAGAUACACGGUGGUAUUGGCUAGGCAGGGAGAAUCAACCAGUCAUCGACAAUUACUCAUCAACAGUUGCUCCUUUGUUUACAUAUAACACAGGUUCUCAGGCUGAUAAUCCAGACUCCUUCUCCCCAGGGUGUUUGGUGACAGUGAGAGAUUCAUAAAAAGGCUAUUGUAGGCGUGUGGUCUUCAGUCCUCACUCCUUCCCUGCCCUGCAUCUCCUCCUGUUGACCUCCUGUGCCUUAGUUUCACUUUCCGCUUGACCUACUCUUGGAUCUUGGUCCUCUUUAAUUCAUACAUUGUGGUUUUUUGCUUGUCACCUGACAAGAAGGGACAUCCCACUUCUGCCCAUUCCUAGGCUCCCACGAAACUGGACAGGGAUAUUCCCUGGCCUCGGAAGAUAAGACAGAGUUGACAAUGCAGUAGUUAGGAAAAUCAUUGAAAUUGGAGACCUAACUGGGUGCCAUGGUCUGAAUGGUGUCUGUCCCAAAUUAUCCAAAUGCUUAUCUCCAACAUGAUGGACUUAGGAGAUGAUUAGGUCAUGAGAUUGGAGCCCUCAUGAAUGGGACUCAUGCCCUUAUGAAAGAGGUUCCAGAGCGAUUUCUUGGCACCUUCCCCUACGUAAGGACACAGCAAGAAGUCAGCAGUCUCUAACCCAGAAGAGGAUGCUCAACAGACCGUGCCAGCACCCUGAUCUUGGAUGUCUCCCCUCCAGAACGGCCUCUAGAGAAAUUGUCUCCAAAAACUGCCCAAAAGGGAGUUCCCUAAGUGCUUUGAGACCCUGUUACUGUCUACAGCUUACUGCAUUGGAUGUGGAUUCCUCACCCAAGAUAAGCCAAACGCAUGUAGCCUAAAGAUGCAGCGACUACAUAAGUUGUCUUGGAAACUUGAAUUGGAAAGGGAACAUCCAGACGCCGGCGGGCAGUGCCGGGCAGGCAGGUGGCGCUGCUCCACAAAAUCCUCCAGCUUCCUUCUACUUUUUGGUGUCCUCUUCAUCCGCCCAUCUGCCCUUCUAGCCCCAGGGAAGGGUGAGUAGCUCCUUUACAGAGAUGUCACCCAACAUUUGCACACGUCACUUGGAAUCACUUCCCUCUGGCUGGACCUUCGUCCCAGGGCCACUCUGAGCUGCAGGGGAGCUUGGGAAAUAACUGUGUGCGGCUGGGCAGCCAUCUUUCUUGUUCCUCAGUACGUGGGGGUUUUGGGGUCAUUCUGUUGCUGGAAGGGAAGAGAUUAGAAUGGGUAACGGAAGGAAACGAGCAGGGGCAGCGGUAGCUCAAAUCUUUAUUCCCAGUCACAGCACCAUUCAUUACACGUGAGGGACACUGGAACCUGUCAUGACUUCAGUUUUUCCAUUUAGAAAAAAAGGAUCUCAGAGUUGUUAUUAAUGGCAAUCAAGACGUAGAGAGUGAAAACGAGGGCUCCCAGGGUUCUCUGUGGGUCCCUGGCCCUGUAGUUCCUUGUCUGCGCAGAGCAGAGAUCCCAGGCGGGCACACAGUGCAUUGCAGGGUCAUGCGGGCUGUUGGGAGUGAGGGGGCAAUGGCCGACCAGCUCCUGCCUCUGGCUGCUUUGCCUGGAGCCCCUCUUUCCUUCUCCUGAUCUCCCCUUCCCUCUCUCCCACCUCCCCACUGCAGGGAUCCUGCGGAUUGAUGGACUGUCACCUGGAAGGUGGAGGCAGACCCCAGAUCUCUGUGUUCUUAAAGGAAAGAAGGAUUAAUGAGCUCCUUAGAGUUGUCUGUGGGCUGGAGCUCAUCUCGGUGCCUGCUCCGGCUGGGACAGCGUACUGCCAAGAGAAAGGCAGGCAGCUACAAAGCUUUGGUCAUGCUGCCCCUUGUGUGACCUGUCAGGUCUUGUCUGUGAUCGGCUGUGCUGGUUGGUGCAGGUCACACGCUGAGCUCUUCCCAGGAAUCUGAUUGUUUGCAGUUGUAAAGUGCAGGAGCUUGGAUCUGUCCGGGCAGAGGGUUAAAUCAUGGAGUGUUUUACAAGGGCAGCUAUAGGGAAUGUCUUGUUUUCUCCUUAUAUGGCUAUUUUUCUCAGUCCAGAAUCCCAGGGUGUAUUUUACGUGGUUGAAAUACACAAAUGGAGUCAUAGUCUUAGCCAAACAUGCUAUGUGGCUUUAAAAUUAACAAGCCUCUCUCUACUUCUGUAUCCCAAACACACAUUCACAUGCACCAUUUCCGUUGAGACCGUGGAAAGCUACUCCUUCCUUUUUAGCCAAAAAUAUUCAAUGGGGUGGAUUUCUACAAUUCUGUUGCUUUAUGUGGGAGAAAGAUUUCUUUGGAUCAGAGUAGUUUUGCAAGCGUGUGGGUCAAGUUUAAGUAGCAAGUUUUUAAUGAGUCGCUACCAUAUGUGAUGUGCUGCCUUCACUGGCUCUGGAUGUAUGGGCAGAAUGGGGGCACCAAACGUUAACAUAUAAAAAGGAAAGAUGUUUAAUGAUGAUUCAAGACGACACUAGUCAGAAGGCAGUGCGGGGUGAGAGAGAGCAUGAGCUUGCCACAGGCGCUCAGGGGAAGGAGAAAUCUGUUCAGACUGCGGUGAUCAGGGCAACUUUGAUGGAAGAAGUGGAGGUUUGAAUUAGUUGGAUUUGGUUAGGUCAGGGGGAGAGGAAGAGGCAUUUUCGUGGUGGAGACCUGAAGAAAAAUGCUAAGGAGAGACAAUGAAGGGAAUUUUAAAAGAGGAGAGCGAAUAAUCCAGAGUGGCUAAAGCAAAUAAUUCAUGUAGGAGAAGAGGCACUUUGGGUGGGAAAGGUAGAUGAAGGCUGGAGUUGGCCUGGGAAGUCAAGCUGGAGCUGCGAUUUUUACUGCAUGAUAAAGUGGAGACAUUGAGGGCUUUGGGGUAUUUAUUUUGAUCUGAACCGCUCUGGGCACCAGGAUUCUCAAUAAUUUCUGUCUCCAAAGCUUAUUUUUCUUUUUGGCUAUCUCAUCAAAUAUGACAAUCUAGAACAUUAAGAUUUAAAUUUUUUUCAAAAAAAAUUUAAAAAAAUUUUUUAAUUUUUUAAAAAAUUAAAAAUAGGAACCGGAACAAGAACAGGAACAGGCUGAGCUGGAAGCCUGAUACAGGGCUUGAUCCCAGGACCCCGAGAUCAUG